GACGAACGCUGGCGGCGUGCUUAACACAUGCAAGUCGAACGGAAAGGCCCUGCUUUUGUGUGGUGCUCGCGUGGCGAACGGGUGAGUAACACGUGAGUAACCUUCCCUUUACUUUGUGAUAACUUCAGGCAACUGCGGCUAAUACCGGCUAGGAGCUCCUGCUGCAUGGUGGGGGUUGGAAAGUUUAGGCGGUUGUGGAUGGACGGGCGGGUUAUCAGCUUGUUGGUGGGGUAGUGGCUUACGAAGCGUUUGACGGGUAGCCGGCCUGAGAGGGGGGACGGGGACAAGGGGACUGAGGGACGGCCCAGUGGCGUAUGGGAGGCAGCAGGGGGAAAUAUUGCACAAUGGGGGGGAGCCUGAUGCGGAGACGCCGCGUGCGGGAAGAACGCCUUCGGGUGGUAAACCGCUUUAGCCUGUGACGAAGCGGGAGUGACGGUAAUGGGUGAAGAAGCACCGGCUAACUACGUG
rnacentral:rRNA from 1 species